UAACCUGUCAUUCCAGCCUGGGUUGCCUGC
rnacentral:piRNA from 1 species